rnacentral:rRNA from 1 species
AUUGAACGCUGGCGGCAUGCCUUACACAUGCAAGUCGAACGGCAGCACGGGUGCUUGCACCUGGUGGCGAGUGGCGAACGGGUGAGUAAUACAUCGGAACAUGUCCUGUAGUGGGGGAUAGCCCGGCGAAAGCCGGAUUAAUACCGCAUACGAUCUACGGAUGAAAGCGGGGGACCUUCGGGCCUCGCGCUAUAGGGUUGGCCGAUGGCUGAUUAGCUAGUUGGUGGGUAAAGGCCUACCAAGGCGACGAUCAGUAGCUGGUCUGAGAGGACGACCAGCCACCUUGGGACUUAGACACGGCCCAGACUCCUACGGGAGGGAGCAGUGGGGAAUUUUGGACAAUGGGCGAAAGCCUGAUCCAGCAAUGCCGCGUGUGUGAAGAAGGCCUUCGGGUUGUAAAGCACUUUUGUCCGGAAAGAAAUCCUUGGCCCUAAUACGGUCGGGGGAUGACGGUACCGGAAGAAUAAGCACCGGCUAACUACGUG